GACGAACGCUGGCGGCGUGCCUAAUACAUGCAAGUAGAACGCACAGUUUAUACCGUAGCUUGCUACACCAUAGACUGUGAGUUGCGAACGGGUGAGUAACGCGUAGGUAACCUGCCUGGUAGCGGGGGAUAACUAUUGGAAACGAUAGCUAAUACCGCAUAAUAUUAAUUAUUGCAUGAUAAUUAAUUGAAAGCUGCAAUUGCACCACUACCAGAUGGACCUGCGUUGUAUUAGCUAGUAGGUGAGGUAACGGCUCACCUAGGCGACGAUACAUAGCCGACCUGAGAGGGUGAUCGGCCACACUGGGACGGAGACACGGCCCAGACUCCUACGGGAGGCAGCAGUAGGGAAUCUUCGGCAAUGGACGAAAGUCUGACCGAGCAACGCCGCGUGAGUGAAGAAGGUUUUCGGAUCGUAAAGCUCUGUUGUAAGAGAAGAACGGGUGUGAGAGUGGAAAGUUCACACUGUGACGGUAUCUUACCAGAAAGGGACGGCUAACUACGUG
rnacentral:rRNA from 1 species